rnacentral:rRNA from 1 species
AGUGAACGCUGGCGGUAGGCCUAACACAUGCAAGUCGAACGGCAGCACAGUAAGAGCUUGCUCUUACGGGUGGCGAGUGGCGGACGGGUGAGGAAUACAUCGGAAUCUACUUUUUCGUGGGGGAUAACGUAGGGAAACUUACGCUAAUACCGCAUACGACCUACGGGUGAAAGCAGGGGAUCUUCGGACCUUGCGCGAUUGAAUGAGCCGAUGUCGGAUUAGCUAGUUGGCGGGGUAAAGGCCCACCAAGGCGAAGAUCCGUAGCUGGUCUGAGAGGAUGAUCAGCCACACUGGAACUGAGACACGGUCCAGACUCCUACGGGAGGCAGCAGUGGGGAAUAUUGGACAAAGGGCGCAAGCCUGAUCCAGCCAUACCGCGUGGGUGAAGAAGGCCUUCGGGUUGUAAAGCCCUUUUGUUGGGAAAGAAAAGCAGCAGGUUAAUACCCCGCUGUUCUGACGGUACCCAAAGAAUAAGCACCGGCUAACUUCGUG